rnacentral:rRNA from 1 species
AGUGAACGCUGGCGGUAGGCCUAACACAUGCAAGUCGAACGGCAGCACAGUAAGAGCUUGCUCUUACGGGUGGCGAGUGGCGGACGGGUGAGGAAUACAUCAGAAUCUACUUUUUCGUGGGGGAUAACGUAGGGAAACUUACGCUAAUACCGCAUACGACCUACGGGUGAAAGCAGGGGAUCUUCGGACCUUGCGCGAUUGAAUGAGCCGAUGUCGGAUUAGCUAGUUGGCGGGGUAAAGGCCCACCAAGGCGACGAUCCGUAGCUGGUCUGAGAGGAUGAGCAGCCACACUGGAACUGAGACACGGUCCAGACUCCUACGGGAGGCAGCAGUGGGGAAUAUUGGACAAUGGGCGCAAGCCUGAUCCAGCCAUACCGCGUGGGUGAAGAAGGCCUUCGGGUUGUAAAGCCCUUUUGUUGGGAAAGAAAAGCAGCAGGUUAAUACCCCGCUGUUCUGACGGUACCCAAAGAAUAAGCACCGGCUAACUUCGUG